rnacentral:lncRNA from 13 species
CGUGUUUCAUCCUCCAUACUUGGAGGGCAGAGUACACAUGUCCCAUCCUCCAGGCUGGGAGGAUGGGGUGGACGUGGCUCAUUCUCCAGGCUGGUAAUGACAAAAAAGCAGGCAGCAGGGAUGCCUACAACCCAGUAUGAGGGGUGGAGUUGUCCCCCACAUUCAUGUGUUGAGAUCUGAACCCCUGGCUCCUCAGAAUGUGACUGUGUGUGGAGACUAGGUCUUUAAAGAGGUAAUUAAGUUAAGCUGAGGUCAUCUGGGUGAGUCCUAAUCCAAUAUCACCAGUGAGGUCACCCAUGGACACCCCUGUGUGAGGUCACAGGAGGGACCAUGGCUGCAGGGUGCACGGCCCAUCACCCAGAUGUCUCCAAACCAGUCCUCUUUGGCUCCCCAGAUGGGGCCUUGGAGUCCAGCUUUGUCCAGAGGCCCAGCAGGCCCGACCCUCAGCCCUGCAAGGAGCCAGGAGUCCUGGAAAGCUGCUCAUCCCCAAAUCACAGCAGCCACAGCCAUGGGAGCCAUGGGUUUCCCAGGUCUUGAAAAGUCAGCGCUCCUCCAGAAGCUGGACAGCACCUGGCAUGGAGUAGGAGGAGUUAAAAGAGCAGCAUCUUUGAGUGAGGAGGACGGAUGUCGAGGAGCAAUCAAUUACCUGAGAGGUGUCCGUGGUUGCGGCUAAACGGUGACCCAGCAAGGUGCAAUUGGCGAAGUGUCACUUUUAUUCAUAGCCUCAAAUCUGAGAAUGGGCGCCUCUGCAUUUUAAUUAUUGGAAAGCACUUACCACCCUUGCUUUAAUGAAUUAUAUAAAAUUUUUAAAUGUGUAAUUAU